CGAAUGCUGACAUAAGUAACGAUAAAGCGGGUGAAAAGCCCGCUCGCCGGAAGACCAAGGGUUCCUGUCCAACGUUAAUCGGGGCAGGGUGAGUCGACCCCUAAGGCGAGGCCGAAAGGCGUAGUCGAUGGGAAACAGGUUAAUAUUCCUGUACUUGGUGUUACUGCGAAGGGGGGACGGAGAAGGCUAUGUUGGCCGGGCGACGGUUGUCCCGGUUUAAGCGUGUAGGCUGGUUUUCCAGGCAAAUCCGGAAAAUCAAGGCUGAGGCGUGAUGACGAGGCACUACGGUGCUGAAGCAACAAAUGCCCUGCUUCCAGGAAAAGCCUCUAAGCAUCAGGUAACAUCAAAUCGUACCCCAAACCGACACAGGUGGUCAGGUAGAGAAUACCAAGGCGCUUGAGAGAACUCGGGUGAAGGAACUAGGCAAAAUGGUGCCGUAACUUCGGGAGAAGGCACGCUGAUAUGUAGGUGAAGUCCCUCGCGGAUGGAGCUGAAAUCAGUCGAAGAUACCAGCUGGCUGCAACUGUUUAUUAAAAACACAGCACUGUGCAAACACGAAAGUGGACGUAUACGGUGUGACGCCUGCCCGGUGCCGGAAGGUUAAUUGAUGGGGUUAGCGCAAGCGAAGCUCUUGAUCGAAGCCCCGG
rnacentral:rRNA from 1 species